AGUGGGUCCAGUUUCUUUGCUCCUGCAGAACAAAAAGCUCUGAUGAGCCAAAUGUUACUGAUGCUCAUGUGAGACCAUUUCAACAUGUGCAGAUACAGUUAAUCAAUGGUCAUGUGCUGUAACCAUGGCGACAUGGAACUCACUCCCUCUAACAGGAGAAAGAUCUAGAGAGUUCUAUACCAAAACAACUGCGAUAGAGAGAGGUUAAUCUCCUCAGAGGGAAGUGACUGCAGGUCUCAGGAUGGCAGCCUCAGCCCGGCCAAGUCAAUAAAUAGAGAGAGAGAGCGUGUCACGACCAUCAAUGUGCAAAAGACCUCCAAAGAGAAUGCAAGUAACACAAUAAACUAAUGCAUGACUAAUGCAUGACAUUAGAAUGUCAUAGACUGUAGGAGGCAGUUUGGUACACUGACUGGCGCGUGGCACAGGUCUUAAAGUCUUAAAACUACGGCUUCAAUCUCCAUUAGGCAGGCGGCCAUCGUGCUUCCUGGUAGUCUGAAGGGAAGGACAGCAGUACUGUAAGUU